CCUCUCAUAGCUUAGUCGUCAGAGCAUUGGUGCGUAAAGCCAAAGGUACCGGGUUCGAUUCCCGGUGAGGGUA
rnacentral:tRNA from 1 species